rnacentral:lncRNA from 1 species
CAUAAACAUGUAUAAUUGACAUGUAUUCCCCCCCUAAAACAUAUAAAAACAUUUGAAAGGUUCAUUAAAGGGGUAUGAACUCACCUGAAACCGAGUAAAUCGGGUAAAUCGGGUGAAAGUGUCGGUUGAGCGUUUGGUACCAAAUAAGGACUUGUGCACCUUUUAAGACCCUAAUAUCAUAUGAAAUAUGUAUUUUACAAGAAAUUAAUCAUUUUGUGAUUUUCUUUAAAAUAUUUAGAUAUUCUAGCAUUGAUUCGGGGUCUUAGGGCUUAGAAGGGGUUCCCGGGAAUUGUACAAGGCCAAAUAGGGGUUACGGGGGAGUCCAAGAGUUUACUCCCUUGGGGUUUACAGCCCAAAGGCCACUCCUUGGGAGUUUACGGCCGGAAGCCCAUAGGCUUGGCCGUAAACUCUUGUUUUCCUCUAAAAAUGGAUGUUAAGGCCUUAAAUCGAUUCCCUAUUUUUCUAGUGAAUGUCUAGGACCAAUUUAGGGGUUUAAAACGUUCAUUUGGUUAUGUUUGGGGGAGUUUACGGUCCUAGAUUGUGCUUGGGCCAUAAACUCCAUUGUGUCCCUCAAAAUGUGUUGCUUUAUGGCCCUAAGCAUUUCCUAUGAUCUUAACUAAAUUCUAGCAUGCCUUAGAUGAGUUUUUGGGGCAUUUAACAUGGAAAAUUGGGUGUUUACGGCCUAAGCACAAGCUUGGGCCGUAAACCCUCUUUUAGGCUCUAAAAACUUAUGUUUUGAUGUCCAAACUCAUCUAGGUAAUUUCCUUAAUAAAUUUACAAGCCUAAGGGAAGGAAAAAUGGGACUUUUGGCCAAGUUUUGGGUGUUUACGGCCUAAGGAGCUUCUUUGGAUCCUCUGGGAAAACAUCAGGGAAUUCGCAUACAACGGGAAUGUCCUUUGGAUCUUUCAAUUUCUGGCUAGUGUCGACAACGUGAGCAAGAAAGGCGCGACAUUCCUUGCGCAAGUAUUUCUGAGCCAGGAUACUGGAGAUGAUACGAAGGCUCAUACCGGGUUUAUCUCCAUAGAUCAAUAGGGUUUCGUGAUUUGGAAGAUUCAGGCGAAUGGCUUUGUUGGAGCAUAGGAUAUCGGCGCGAUGAAGACUCAACCAGUCCAUACCAACAAUGACAUCGAAAUUUUUGAUUGAGACUGGUAUAAGAUCGAUUGAAAAUGAGUGAUCGUCUAACGUGAGGGUAUAACCUAUGUAGAUUUCGUUAGAGCUUUCAGUCUUCCCGUUAGUCAUUUCUACGACAAAUGUUUCUUUUAGUGGUUGGGGAGUUUGUUUGAGUAAGUGUUUAAAGUUUCAAUUUAUGAAUCUUCUUUCUGCACCACUAUCGAAUAAGACACAGGCGUAAGAGUUGUUGAGAACAAACGUACCCGUGACCACUGUGGGAUCCACUACCGCUUCAUUGUGACCGAUAGUGAGUAACCUUCCAGUUCCCCCAGCAUUUGUAGCCUUCGGACAGUUCUUCUUAAAAUGACCGGCUUCACCGCAGCCAUAACACGUCGGGGUCACUCCCGAACCGGGAACUUGCGAGAUAGGUUUGGGAGGGGCCUUGCAAAAUCGGACAAUAUGGCCUUUCCGGCCGCAGUUAGAGCACUGCAAUUCACGGCAGGGGCCGUGGUGGUGGAAAGGACAUUUGGGACAUUUGGGCAGAUUCCCACUAUAAGCUUUUGGCGGGGUAGGUGCGGCUGGAGUGGUNCCACGAUUUGCUGGUCCUUGGAGGGGGUUUGAGUCUUUCUGCCUUUCUUCUUAUCCAAACGCUUCCUUUUCCUGUCAGAUGAACCGGGUGGUGCAGUGGUAGUUGUGGUUGCUGUCGUUGGAGUAGAAGAGAUCUCAUGGUUGAUCAGACUCUGGGCCAAUUCCUUGGCGCUGUCGAAGGUGGUAGGGCGUGAGGCUAGAACAUUUCCUCGAUAUGGGGGCACUAAACCCCAGAUGUACCAUUCAAUCUUCUUGCUCUCUAACGGGAUCAUAUUGGGACACAUACCCGCCAAGUCGCAAAACCUGGUCGUGUACGCUAUUAUGUCGGUCCCCACCAUCUUGAGGUUCCAGAGUUCCUCCUCAAGUUUCUGGAUUUCGCCCCUAGGGCGGUAUUCCUUCCUCAUAAGAUCCUUUAAAGUGUCCCAGCCCAUGGCAUUGGCUGAAACCAAGGAGAGUGCACUGACAUGGCCGUUCCACCAUGUCAGGGCCCUGUUGGUAAGGGUGGCAGUAGCGAACUUGAUUUUGCUCUCUUCGGGGAAAGAGCACAUUUCAAACACAGCUUCGGUUCUUUCGAGCCAUUGGGAUAACGCUAGAAUUCCUCCGGUACCAUCGAACAAGGUAGGUUUACAGUUCAUGAAGUCCUUAUAAUUGCAUCCAUGCACUCGUUGAUGGACUUCACCAAACUUGGAGUUACCACCGCUUGCGUCUCCGGAGUUCAUUUGGGCCAUGGCUGCUGUCACAGCCAUGGUCACAGCUAUUUGGAACAGCACUGGAUCAAACUACGAAGGAGGAGGUGGCGGAGGAGGGGUUUGAGUUGCUGGUCUUCCUCUGCUUGGACACUUUCGUGGAGGCAUCUUUCACUGGAAGAUCAUAGAAAUGAUAGCAAUAGUAAGAGUCUAGUGCAAAUGUGAAUAGAGUGUUUCAUGGGUUAAAUCAACAUAACCCAAGAUCAGAAUGAGAUUCAUAGCAACAGAGUAAUCAACUGCCAAUAUACUGGUAUUAAUGAUGUAACACAAGUUCAUGAAAGUUGACCUAACAGUAGGUAUUACAUCGAACCAUAAAGAAAAUGUUGGCAGUUUAGAGGUCUAGUUAGAGUAUUUUUAAGCUAGGAAUGUUUACAGACAAGAGAUCUACGGAACACAGAGAGGAAAGGCUAGUCCUUUAAACAAAGAGUGAGGUAACUAGACGUCUUCUACUGGCGACGGUUACUUGUUGGGCGAAUCCUCAGAUCCGCUAGCUGACGCAUAACUUCUUGAAGGUGUCAAUCAUGAGUCCUUUGGCGUGCUCGGAGUUCCCUAACUUCGGCUCGGGAUGCAGCCAGUUGAUGCUGCAGAGCCUCGUUGCUCCUCCUUGUCCUGUCCAUGGCUUCUUCGAGUUGGCAGAUGCGAACCGUGUUGAGAUUCGAGUUGGCAUCCACUUCUACAACUCGACCAAUAGCAGCUUGACCCUGCUCGACAUUCCUAGCAAUCCUUUGGAUCAUGAUGGCCAGAACCCAAUCCGCUGAUCCUCUUUCGCUUAUGUUGUAGAAGCUUCGGUCUCCAUUGUAAGGCAAGGGCUGGCCCUGUUCUUCGCUCCAUCAGUGCAAGGAUAUGGCCCACAUAGGAGUGGGACCCUAAAAUGCCGGACGGGGGUUGGGGUUCGGAGCUUCAGGAGGUUGGUUGUUAACUUCUAGUUCGGAGCUGGAGCUAUCCGAGAAGCCUUCAGCAUUAUGAGCAUCCAAAGGGAUUGGGUGUUCAUCAUCUAACUCCUCAUCGAGCGAUCCUCCAUUGCCCUGGUUUGGAUAGUACGGGUCGUCGGGAUGGUGGAAGCCAACCAUGCUAUCUAUGCGAGAAAGGGGGAUAGAAAGGUUAAUAGACGUACUACUCUAAGAUACUUUUAAGAUGAAUCGUUACUAGUCGACCCAAUACUUGCGUAGCGCAUACUCGUUACAUGCAACCGAAGCAAGAUAGUCCUUCGAAUAAGUAACCCUAACUCCAAAUCCCCAAUCAAACAAGAACAGGAAAUAAAGCAAAGGCUACAGAUUCUGAGUCUAUAAUGCCCUAGUCACAUGUAACCGUGGUGUAUCCACUUAGCAACUAUUGUCCUACCAGUAACGACCCUUUUUUGUUAUCACAUAUGUAUGUUUUAGAGAUACAGAAUACUCCUAUAGUAUUCUUAGGGUAACGUUAUUGUGUUAGUGUUUGUAAGUUUUAGACUUGUUGCAACACCACAACUAAGCUUAGGCACAUGCUAGUCACUCCCAGGAAAACGUAGUUGAUCAGGCUACAUCCCCCUAAAUGUGACUAUAUGUCUUUAAAUCCAACUGUGCUGUCCAACAAUCUUAAUACUUUUGUUCUGUUCUAGUGUGAUACUGACUUCUGUGUUUUAUAAUGAUGCGUGUAUAUAUAUACUUAGUUAAAUCUUUUAGAUACUUAACAGUAUAUAUUCUUGGUCAGAGUGUUUUAGUCCCGAAGUGUUUAUAGUUCGUACAUCCUUUAUAGGUUGAUAUACUUGAUUCACUAUAAACAAUGCUCUGAUACCAAUCUGUCACACNCUUGUCACACCCCAAAACCGAUAACGGCGGAAUACGUUUCGGGGUGGAGGACGUCAUGUACAGUAUCAUCACAAUUGCAUAAUAGUAAAAACAAGAAACAUACAACCAUUGCAUUACAUAGUGAGUUUAAUUACAAGUGUGUUUUGUAAUGUUCAACAAACACCAAAAGUAAUACAAAAAUAAGAGAUGGAUCUUGUAUGCUCCACCUUCUCCAAAAUGAUGCACCUGUACCUGUCUAUCUUUGACCUGAGGAUACAAGUUAUUUUGAAAACGAGUAUCAGCAUAAAGCUGGUGUGUUCAUUAGAGUUUAGUGUGAGCUUUGUAUAAAAGGCAUUAGAACUGAUAGUAUGAAAAGCUGCAAUUUACAUUCAUAAGUAGUAGAAAACCCUAGAAAAUCCUAUAUUUUCAAGAAAGUUCAUUGUGAGUGAAAACCUUUAAGAAAACAUGUAAUUUUCAUCUUUGAAAACCGUUUAGUGUAAAAGUAUAUUAGUGAAUCUCCAAUAAGUAAGGUAUUAAAAUAGGUUAAUUCCUGUAGUCAGUAAUAGAGGUGCAAACUUCCUUUAGUGUUAGAUACUUAUUUACUUCGGGAUGUUAACUUAGCCUUUAGUUUAGUAUUUUAGUGUGGAUAUAGUGUAUUCCUUGUAUGCUACAGAUAGUGUGAAUAAUAGAGGACCCCAUGACCUUCCCGGUCAUGCAUAGUGUAGUGAAGUAGCGGCAUCCCUGGCCCUGCACGGCUCGGACUGAAACUAACAGUCGGGAUGUAAUAGUGUCUGCCCCGUAUAGAUCUAUACAUGUAGCGUCGUUCUCCUGUCGGAAAACUCUGGGCGUAGUGUGUAGCGAAUAGAGUAUCUCAUAGUGAGUUAGUGUGUUAUCUUCGGAUUAGUACUUUCUCUUGUAUUAUAGUGUAGUAGUCUUUUGUAUAGCUCGUAGUGUGUUCUCUUAUUAGUGUAUAGUCUCGUAAUAGUGUGUAGAGUAGUAGCUAUAGCGAGUAGUAGUGGCCUUAACUAUACCUAUUAUAGUUAACUUAGCGUGUAUGGUUCUUGUCAAUGUAGUGGUUUAAGCAUCGAGUGAAAUGAAAAUACUCGUAUCCAACACUAAUAUACAUGAUAUAUAACUAAGAAAUCAAUGACAGUCGGACGGAUAACAACUACCCAAAGCCCAUAAUCAAACAAGAACAGGAAAUAAGGCGAGCUAUCGAUCCUAAGUCCUUCAAGUCUUACUUAUAUAAAUAUAUUAGUGUGGUUACAUUUUGUAAGAAAAAUUUAUUUAAUAAAAAUCUUGUCAAAAGGGAACAUUUAAAAAAUUGUUUAUUUAUCCAAAAUAGUUUUGAAAACGAACAUCCUUUUAUAAAACAUAGUGGUAAAUCACAUGUGAUUUGAACUACGGAUAGUGAAUCACAUGUGAUUAAUUUCCAUAAACAUGUAUAAUUGACUUGUAUCCCCCCCUAAAACAUAUAANCCCCCCCCCCCCCCCCCUAAAACAUUUAAAACAUUUGAAAGCUUCAUUAAAGGGGUUUGAACUCACUUGAAACUGAGUAAAUAGGGUAAAUCGGGUGAAAGUGUCGGUUGAGCGUUUGGUACCAAAUAAGGACUUGUGCACCUUUUAAGACCCUAAUAUCAUAUGAAAUAUGUAUUUUACAAG